GACGAACGCUGGCGGCGUGCUUAACACAUGCAAGUCGAACGGAAAGGCCCUGCUUUUGUGGGGUGCUCGAGUGGCGAACGGGUGAGUAACACGUGAGUAACCUGCCCUUGACUUUGGGAUAACUUCAGGAAACUGGGGCUAAUACCGGAUAGGAGCUCCUGCUGCAUGGUGGGGGUUGGAAAGUUUCGGCGGUUGGGGAUGGACUCGCGGCUUAUCAGCUUGUUGGUGGGGUAGUGGCUUACCAAGGCUUUGACGGGUAGCCGGCCUGAGAGGGUGACCGGCCACAUUGGGACUGAGAUACGGCCCAGACUCCUACGGGAGGCAGCAGUGGGGAAUAUUGCACAAUGGGCGGAAGCCUGAUGCAGCAACGCCGCGUGCGGGAUGACGGCCUUCGGGUUGUAAACCGCUUUCGCCUGUGACGAAGCGUGAGUGACGGUAAUGGGUAAAGAAGCACCGGCUAACUACGUGCCAGCAGCCGCGGUGAUACGUAGGGUGCGAGCGUUGUCCGGAUUUAUUGGGCGUAAAGGGCUCGUAGGUGGUUGAUCGCGUCGGAAGUGUAAUCUUGGGGCUUAACCCUGAGCGUGCUUUCGAUACGGGUUGACUUGAGGAAGGUAGGGGAGAAUGGAAUUCCUGGUGGAGCGGUGGAAUGCGCAGAUAUCAGGAGGAACACCAGUGGCGAAGGCGGUUCUCUGGGCCUUUCCUGACGCUGAGGAGCGAAAGCGUGGGGAGCGAACAGGCUUAGAUACCCUGGUAGUCCACGCUGUAAACGGUGGGUACUAGGUGUGGGGUCCAAUCCACGGGUUCCGUGCCGUAGCUAACGCUUUAAGUACCCCGCCUGGGGAGUACGGCCGCAAGGCUAAAACUCAAAGGAAUUGACGGGGCCCCGCACAAGCGGCGGAGCAUGCGGAUUAAUUCGAUGCAACGCGUAGAACCUUACCUGGGUUUGACAUGGAUCGGGAGUGCUCAGAGAUGGGUGUGCCUCUUUUGGGGUCGGUUCACAGGUGGUGCAUGCCUGUCGUCAGCUCGUGUCGUGAGAUGUUGGGUUAAGUCCCGCAACGAGCGCAACCCUUGUUCACUGUUGCCAGCACGUUAUGGUGGGGACUCAGUGGAGACCGCCGGGGUCAACUCGGAGGAAGGUGGGGAUGACGUCAAGUCCUCAUGCCCCUUAUGUCCAGGGCUUCACGCAUGCUACAAUGGCUGGUACAGAGAGUGGCGAGCCUGUGAGGGUGAGCGAAUCUCGGAAAGCCGGUCUCAGUUCGGAUUGGGGUCUGCAACUCGACCUCAUGAAGUCGGAGUCGCUAGUAAUCGCAGAUCAGCAACGCUGCGGUGAAUACGUUCCCGGGGCU
rnacentral:rRNA from 1 species